rnacentral:rRNA from 1 species
CCUACGAGAGGCAGCAGUGAGGAAUAUUGGUCAAUGGUCGGGAGACUGAACCAGCCAAGCCGCGGGAGGGAGGAAGGUACAGAGUAUCGUAAACCUCUUUUGUCAGGGAACAAAGGCGGGGACGUGUCCCCGGAUGAGUGUACCUGAAGAAAAAGCAUCGGCUAACUCCGUGCCAGCAGCCGCGGUAAUACGGAGGAUGCGAGCGUUAUCCGGAUUUAUUGGGUUUAAAGGGUGCGCAGGCGGUCUGUUAAGUCAGCGGUCAAAGCCCGGGGCUCAACCCCGGCCCGCCGUUGAAACUGGCAGUCUCGAGUUGGAGAGAAGGAUGCGGAAUGCGCGGUGUAGCGGUGAAAGGCAUAGAUAUCGCGCAGAACUCCGAUUGCGAAGGCAGCAUGCCGGCUCCACACUGACGCUGAGGCACGAAAGCGUGGGUAUCGAACAGGAUUAGAUACCCCAGUAGUC